CCUACGGGAGGCAGCAGUCGGGAAUUUUGGGCAAUGGGCGAAAGCCUGACCCAGCAACGCCGCGUGAAGGAUGAAGUCUUUCGGGAUGUAAACUUCGUAAGAAUGGGAAGAAUCAAUGACGGUACCAUUUGUAAGGUCCGGCUAACUACGUGCCAGCAGCCGCGGUAAUACGUAGGGACCAAGCGUUGUUCGGAUUUACUGGGCGUAAAGGGCGCGUAGGCGGCAUGACAAGUCAUUUGUGAAAUCUCCGAGCUUAACUCGGAACGGUCAAAUGA
rnacentral:rRNA from 1 species